rnacentral:tRNA from 1 species
UAACAUAGAAGUAAUAAUUUACAUUUAGUUUCGACCUAAAAUUUAAAGAACAAUAUCUUCAUGUUUUAA